CUCCCCCCGUGUCCCAGGUGCUGGCCAAGCGCGGCCGCCGCGGCCGGGACGAGCGCCGGGGGCUCCUCCACGACAUCCACUCGCUGCAGGAGCUCCUCACCGAGGAGCAGGAGGACGAGCUGCUGGACGCCUACGCCACCCCAUCCAAGGGCUCCCAGAAACGCAGCAAUUCCACACCGGAGACUCCCCGGCCCAAGCGGGCGCCGUCAUCCCGCAGCCCCUACGGGCUCUUCUCCCCCGGCAGCUUCUCCCCGAGGUGGGUGAAACCACAGCUCCAGAAAUCCGCUCCUUUCUCCCUCUUUUUUCCUUCUUUUCCCUUAAAAUCCCACCAUUGUGGAAAUUGGGGUGGAGCAUUCCCAAAACUCUGUAAAUUCGGGGGAAAUUGUUAAAACCCCACUGAACUUCUUGCAGUUAUAAAACCUUUAAAGCUACAACCACUUGUCAUUUUUAAAACCUCGUUAAUCAACACAAAUCAUUAAUCCCUGGUAAAAUGCCCUGCCUGCAGCUCAGGGAAUUCAUUAGGGUUUCUCUUUCAGCUCUUAGAACGGGCUCACAGAGAGGAGGAAAACCCCAAAUCCACGGAGUUUCCAGGGUGGGACAACUCCUGUCCUAAACCACCCUUGGUUUUUUUGUCCCCACAGCAUCACCCCCUCCCAGAAAUACUCGUCCCGUGGGGGCCGGGGCGAGGUCGUGGCCUCGUUUGGCUCCGUCCAGGGCCUGGCCUGGCGCGGCGGCAGCGGCUGCACCGUCAAACUCUUCGGGGGCCCCGAGCAGAACCUCACCAAACCCUACAAAUUCAUGUUCCAGAAGGCGCUGGACGUCCGGGAAGGUGCCCCCGCAGCGGGGGGAGGGCGG
rnacentral:lncRNA from 1 species